rnacentral:lncRNA from 1 species
AUAAUAUAAAAGAGGUAUCAAUUUAGAUUACGGACACAAAAAAAUAACAAAUAAUUUAGGUAAAAUAAUAUAAAAGAAGUGGGCUUUUAGCUAAUAAGCUCAAACCGAGGAUCCAAACCGAUCCAGUCGGUUUGGAUCGGUUCGGUUUGAAAAAAUUUUAAGUUGAUAUCGGUUUGAAAAUAUUUCAAACCGAUAAGUUUGGAUCGGUUUGAGAAUAUGUCUCAAACCGAUCCAAACCGAAUUUGCCCACCCCUAAUU